rnacentral:rRNA from 1 species
UACAGAGGUCCCAAGCGUUGUUCGGAUUUACUGGGCGUAAAGGGCGCGUAGGUGGCGGGCUAAGUCUAAUGUGAAAGCUCUGAGCUCAACUCAGAAAUGGCAUUAGAUACUAGUCUGCUUGAGGAUUGGAGGGGAGACUGGAAUUCUCGGUGUAGCAGUGAAAUGCGUAGAUAUCGAGAGGAACACCAGUGGCGAAGGCGAGUCUCUGGACAAUACCUGACACUGAGGCGCGAAAGCUAGGGGAGCAAACGGG